CAGCAGCCACGGGAAUACGUAGGUGGCAAGCGUUGUCCGGAAUUACUGGGCGUAAAGCGUGCGCAGGCGGUUAUAUAAGUCAGAUGUGAAAUCCCCGGGCUUAACCUGGGAACUGCAUUUGAGACUGUAUGGCUAGAGUGUGUCAGAGGGGGGUAGAAUUCCACGUGUAGCAGUGAAAUGCGUAGAUAUGUGGAGGAAUACCGAUGGCGAAGGCAGCCCCCUGGGAUAACACUGACGCUCAUGCACGAAAGCGUGGGGAGCAAACAGGAUUAGAUACCCGCGUAGUCCCUGUCUCUUAUAA
rnacentral:rRNA from 1 species